GUAACCCAAGUCUAGUCCAUGCACAAAGCAUCCUUGCUAUAUGGGCUGUCCAAGUUAUCUUAAUGGGUGCUGUUGAGGGUUACCGUAUUGCUGGUGGACCUCUCGGUGAGGUGGUUGACCCACUCUACCCAGGUGGCAGCUUUGACCCCUUGGGCCUUGCCGAAGAUCCCGAGGCUUUUGCAGAGUUGAAGGUGAAAGAACUAAAAAAUGGUAGGUUAGCUAUGUUCUCUAUGUUUGGAUUUUUCGUUCAAGCCAUUGUGACUGGAAAGGGACCUAUCGAGAACCUCGCCGACCACCUUGCUGACCCGGUUAACAACAAUGCUUGGGCCUACGCCACAAACUUUGCCCCCGGAAAAUAAGCAAUAACUACACCAAAUGAGAAGUGAAUGACUUGAAUAUCGAAGUUUGAAUUUGUUAGUGUGUUAUAUUUUGUAAAACGCAUGGCAUGUUACAUCUUUUUUUCCCCUAAGUUUGUACAUAUUAAGUGAAUGAAAUGAAUGGUUUUACCGAAACAAGGGAGAGUGAAAUGACUGUGAAUGGUAUCAAGCAAUCUAUUACCAGAACAUCAAGUGUAACGAUGUCCUUUCAAAAAAAAAUAAAAAAAAAUCAAGUGUAACGAUGUUUUAAACCAGUGAAGUUUUUAUCAUAUUAACUUUUCAUAUUUUAUAAUUAUAUUUUAUUUUAAAGAGGAGCCUACACAACGGUAAAAGUUGAUUAAAAAUGUCACGAGUUCAAGUUCUGAAAAUAGUCUCUUGUGUAAAAAUAGAAUAAGACUGUGUGCAAUACACCAGAUGGUGAGACCCUUUCUCGGACUCUACGUAUGUGGUUGCCUUGUGCACCAGACUGUUUCUUUGUUUGCUACAAUUAUAUUUUAUUUUGUUAACCUUUUACAUGCCAUAUAUCUUUAGCUCAAUAUGAGAUCUUGUAAUGCCGUUUGAGCUGAAUUAUGGUUUCCCCGUAUGGAAAUCACCCAAGAUCUAAAUCAUAGCAAGUAGGAAUUUGAGAUGGACUCCAAAGUUGAUAUUGAUAUGGUUAAUUUAAAUCCUACCGAAUUGCUUUUAUUCAACAUUUCCUACAUGAGAUCGUUGCUAUUCUGAACCUCCCUUCAAGGAGAAGUUUCAUCUGUUAUAUUUAUAAAGAAACAAAUAAAUAUGUAGAUCUCCUAUGCUAAUAAGAGGCACACUACAAGAGUUGGUGUACAUUAUGUUUUUCUCAUGCUCAGAUUUUGAUGUAGACAAGUUGGCAGCGCGAAUCGAAGACGAAGUGGCGCGUAAGAAAGGUUUAGUCGGAUUGGUGCUGAUUUAGCAUCCGACGUCGGAAUAACAUGAAUUAAACCUUUUUGAAAAGCCCCGGACCUCACGAGCAAUACUCAUCGCUUUGUCAUGAUGUAGGAGUUAAUUUAAUCAUUCGAGGUCGUCUGAAGGCCCGAAAACCGCGUUUUAAUACUUCAGCAUAUUCUAGAACUUUAUAUUUUAUUUCGUUUUGUUAUUUUUCAGCAUAUACGGGUUUGUUAUUUCAUUUAGUAUUUAAACAGAACUUAUGUAGCCAAAGAGGCACUUUUCAUUCAAUAAAAAUAUUCGAGACUUUUCUCUCAAUUCUGGUGGAUUUUGGAAACUCUUAUUUGAUAGGUUUAUCGCUUACAACCUGUUGUUAUCUUUUAAGUUUAGCGUUUGCUAACCCUUGCUUCCAUUUUGCGUCAGAUUUUUGUUACUAUAUGAUGCCAAAGGUGGCUGUAUCUCUAAUAAGCUUUCGUAGUUUAAUUUCCUUUCCUAUCAAAUAAUAAAAAAUGUAACGAUCACCAAUAAACCAUGAAUGAAUAGAGCAAUUCUUGCUUGGGCACAACCACAAAUAUAAAUAAUUUAGACACACACAUAAAAAAAAACAGACACCCACACACACGCGCAUAUAUAUAUAUCAUUGAUUAUUUUCAAAAAUAUAUUAUUUUAUUGAUUUUUCUUUUAUAUGUUUUCACUUAUGUGUGUCCAAAUCAAAAUGAUAUGGGGUUAUGAUGGGUAUUUGUAUUGGCUGCAUUAUUGCUAAUACAAAUAUCCAUGUUUGUGAUGUUCGAUACUAUGUUCCAAUAUGUAUAUUAAUAAUUCUAAUAAUAUGCAAUAAAAGUAAUGUAUAUUAAAAAAUUACAUUGUACUAAUAUGUAUAUUCUAUGAUUGUUUCAUCUCCUAUUUGAUUACACAACCCAAUUAUCACAAUCUUCAUAGCAGAAAAGACAGUUUAAGUGAAUUGAGUACCAGAAGCUCGUCAUGAUCAAGAGAGCGUUGAGUGUACAUGCAAAUUAUCCACCGACAAGGUUCUUACAUUGGCAACAUAAGUUAAACUUAGGUUCUUAUGGUUUGUGAAUCAACUCCUAGACCAAUCGACAUCGACAAUUUUUUUAGUCGUUUAGAAUCAUAUAAAUUUUCAAUUUAAUUUGAUUAGUAAAAAAUAAAUAAUUGUAUGUAUAAGCAAUGACAUAUUAUUAUUUAAAUUUUAAAGCAUGCUUACCAAAUAAAUAUAAAAAAGAUCAUGCAUAUUUGUAACAACUUUCCAAAGAUACAAUCAAAUGAUGUGUUAGUCUACUGGAUAUAUUACUUUUAAGGGUUAAAUAUGUUUUUAGUCUCUAUAAAUAUACCAACUUUUCCUUUUAGUCAUUCUAAAAUUUUCGUUCAACUUUUAGUCCCUAUAAAAUUUUCAAUCACUACUUAUAGUCCCUAUUUUUAAAUUAAUUUUAGUAUUUUUUAAUGAAAUUGUGCAGAAAUGUGUAGAAUAUUGUAAAAAUAUUUCCCAAAAAAAUUAGAAUUUUUUAACGAAACAUAAAUUUAAUAUGAAUUUUUAACCAUCAAAAAUAUAAAAAUUCAUAAUAAAUUCAUGUUUUGUUGAAAAAUUCUAAAUUUUUUUAGGAGAGAUACUUAAAAUAUUAUGAAUUUUUCUGCAAACUUUUAUUCAAAAAUGUGAAUUCUACAUAUGAAUUUACUUUAAAAGAGGGACCACAAGUGAAGAUGGAAAAUUUUUGGAGGACUAAAAGUUGAAGGAAAAUUUUAGAGGGACUAAAACGAAAAGUUGGUAUAUUUAUAGGGACCAAAAACAUAUUUAACCUUACUUUUAAUAAUGACAUGGGGGAUCCCUUUCAUUUUUGUUCUAAUAAUAGUAACAAUAAUAUGUUAUAAUAGCAGAAAAAACAAAAACAAAGUAACAUUGCACCACGUUUUGACGGUAGAUUGAAAAUGCAGGUUCAAAGAGAAAUAUUGAGAAAUCACUUGAACCCCCUCACACAAGAGUGGCUUCGCCACUGAUCACAGUGGCUGUGAUUGGUUGUAGGAUAGUGAGAUGAGAUCUUAGAUCUAGAAGUUCUUAGGUUGAAAUCAAUACGGGUAGGUCCUAGGUCUUAAGUGUAAACGAGGAUUUUGCUGAGAGCUUUAGAAUAAGAACUACACUAGUGGAUUACUUUCCUAACUUGGUAGCCCCAGAUGUAGGUGAGUUGUGCCGAACUGAGUUAACAAACUCUUCUUUACUUUCUUGUCUUUUAUUUUGCUGUUUUGUUUAUGUUUACUUCUAGCACGAUGUUGGAACAUUAAACGGAACAUGUGCUUUCUGUGCAUCUCGAGUUGAAACUUCACAUAGAACAACUUCUAACUGACACGCUAAAUAUUCAGCAUCCGUUAUAUUUGCCGGGAAUUUCAAGUUAUGACCAAACAAGUCUUACUCGAAUGAAUAAGGAUCACACCAAUCAGAAAAAUAAUAUAAUAAAGACAAACAACAAUUAAGACAAAAAAAAGACAAACAACAAUAUCUUAAUAAAAUUAGAUGUUGAUAUUAUGCUAUUUGAAGGACGAGUUUGAACUUUAUUUUAGAAAAUGUGGAAGGUCCAGUAAAUAAAUAUAUCAUGAAAGGUGGAUAUAAAAUAUCUCUGUGAGCUUGAUUCUCUUGGUAGUGAUAUUAUAUAUUAUAUGCAGAGUCAUCGAACCUCGGACACCCUGGUCACUUCUCCACAUUUAAAAUGUAUGAGCUCCGGUCACUAUACUAUUUGACAAAAAAAAAUAAUGCUUGAAAAAUUUAUUAGAAUGUUUACCACUUCAGCCCACAUUAAGUUCAAUCUAGUUAACCAAAAAAAUAUAAAUAUUCUUGAAGCAUGUUAAAAUCAUGUGAUACAAAUCAAUUUGAUUAUAUCAAGAUGAUGUUGAGAUAAUUUAUAUUAACACGACUCGCCUAUUAGCAAAAAUAUUUUGGUUUCGAUUUAUACAAUCGUCCAUUUGAGAGAUGGUUCGACUCUCAAGACAAAAAGUAAGAUAGCUUGCAACGAACUUGGUAAGUAGUCAUGUAGCGCUUUCAAAUGCGGGUGGUAUCCAUUGGAGAGCCAAAUACUUUUGUUAUAGUAACAUCACUGCGGAUUUUAUUAGUCAUAUACAUGGAUUUAAUUAUUUAUCUUGUUAUUUUUAAACAUAUAAUAAGAUCAGUUUAUUUAAAUUUAUUUCUUUAUCUCAUUAUUUUCAUUUUUAUUUUACAAGACAUAUUUCACAAUGCACUAAAGCAAAAUCUCAAUAUACUUUUUCACAUUGCAUGCAUUGCAACUAAAUUUUUGCACAUGAUAAAAAAAUAGAGUGAAACUACUUGAUUAGUUAGCUAAAACAAGAGAGCAUCUAUUGAAUGUUUUAUUUUGCAUUUCUUCCCACAUCCUUUUGUGUCCAUUUUGCAUUGCUUCCAAAAAUAAACGGUAAAAUAUGGUAUAAUGACAUAAUUUUAGGAUAAAUGUUUUUUUAUCUAUUGAGCCAAAGAAAAAAGAAAUAUUCUUUGUCCUUUUGAUGCAACACAAAUUAACUAGCAAUGGUACCAAUAUGCACUAUGGUCCCUCUUCUUCAACUCAUGAUUUUAUACCGUUAUGUAUGAAUUUGUACAUUAUUGAUUAGCCUAUCCAGAAAUCUAAUUUGACAAAUUUUAUUGGAUGGAAGACGUAUUUAAUGAUAUUAUCAUUACAUACUUUGGAUAUUUGAUAUAUUUUAUAAUGAAAGAAAAUAAUAUCUUAAAGAUAUGUGGUUUGAGAAAUAAAGGAAAUACUACAAACCAAUAGAAACUUAGAUAUGGAUUUCACAAGAUAUAGACCUUUAGUUUUACUCGAUGAUAACCAAAUAUAAAUAGCCAUAUAACCAAAUUUGAUAACCAUUCUCAACAUUGCCAAUUGAGCUUCAUUACUUUACUUAGUAAGCAAAAAAAUACCACAAUGGCUGCUUCAACAAUGUCCCUCUCUUCUUCAUCAUUUGUCGGGAAGGCAAUCAAACUUUCCCCAUCCACUCAAGACAUUGGGGUGGGAAGAGUCACAAUGAGGAAAACAACCACCAAGAAGUCCGUUCCGUCUGGAAGCCCAUGGUACGGUCCAGACCGUGUGAAGUACUUGGGCCCAUUCUCCGGUGAAGCCCCAUCCUACCUCACAGGUGAAUUCCCUGGUGACUACGGUUGGGACACUGCUGGACUUUCUGCUGACCCAGAGACAUUUGCCAAGAACCGUGAACUCGAGGUCAUCCACAGUAGAUGGGCUAUGUUGGGUGCCUUGGGAUGUGUCUUCCCUGAGCUCUUAUCUCGCAAUGGUGUACAAUUCGGUGAGGCCGUGUGGUUCAAGGCAGGAUCCCAAAUCUUUAGUGAGGGUGGACUUGACUACUUGGGUAACCCAAGUCUAGUCCAUGCACAAAGCAUCCUUGCUAUAUGGGCAGUCCAAGUUAUCUUAAUGGGCGCCGUGGAGGGUUACCGUAUUGCUGGUGGACCUCUAGGCGAGGUAGUCGAUCCACUCUACCCAGGUGGCAGCUUUGACCCCUUGGGCCUUGCCGAAGAUCCCGAGGCUUUUGCAGAGUUGAAGGUGAAAGAACUAAAAAAUGGUAGGUUAGCUAUGUUCUCUAUGUUUGGAUUCUUCGUUCAGGCCAUUGUCACCGGAAAGGGACCUAUUGAGAACCUCGCUGACCACCUUGCUGAUCCAGUUAACAACAAUGCUUGGGCCUAUGCCACAAACUUUGCCCCUGGAAAAUAAGCAAUAACUACACCAAAUGAGAAGUAGUGAAUGACUUGAAUAUCAAACUUUGAAUUUGUUAUUGUGUUAUAUGUUGAAAAACGUAUGGCGCAUUACAU
rnacentral:lncRNA from 1 species